rnacentral:misc_RNA from 1 species
GCUGCAUUCUCAUUAUUUUCUUUUUUAAAUUAUUUUCUUUCUUUCUUCUUCAUUCUGUCUCUUCUCUCUCAAUCUCCCUUGUAGCCUAUGAAACAAUUAUAGCAUAAUCAUUUUAAUCUCUUUGAUCUCUUGCUGGCUGUAAAGGCAACUCACUUUUCUCUUCUCUUUCUCUGUAUCCUCCACUACACAUGACAAGCUCCUUUAUCAAAUCCCACUUUUAUUUGAUCUUUACCCCUUCUUUUGUUUUGUUUUUUACAUAAACAUAUUUCUUCUUUUUGCCUUUUCUUCACCAUGCUUCAACGCAUAUAUAAUUAUAAUAUUAUAUUGCUAGCUGGGUCCUUUUAAAAAUUUUUAAAUUCGUGUCAGAAUUAAAAUAAUUUUCAAAAUUUAAAUAAAAUUUUCAGAAUUUAAAUAUCUAUGAUAGGUCGUUAGACAAUUCAACACUUUGAUUAUUUUUGCAAAUAUAUUAUAGACGUACGUGGUGGUCCAGUUGAGUCUAUGGAUGACUGACUUGGAGAGGAGCCGUGUUAGAUAAGGAGAGAGAGGGAGAGAGAGAGA